rnacentral:sRNA from 1 species
UGUCCAUAAUUUAGCUGCUUCCAGGGC